CCUACGGGUGGCAGCAGUGGGGAAUAUUGGGCAAUGGGCGCAAGCCUGACCCAGCAACGCCGCGUGAAGGAAGAAGGCUUUCGGGUUGUAAACUUCUUUUGACAGGGAAGAGUAGAAGACGGUACCUGUCGAAUAAGCCACGGCUAACUACGUGCCAGCAGCCGCGGUAAUACGUAGGUGGCAAGCGUUGUCCGGAUUUACUGGGUGUAAAGGGCGUGUAGCCGGGUUGACAAGUCAGAUGUGAAAUCCUGCGGCUUAACCACAGAACUGCCUUUGAAACUGUUGAUCUUGAGUACUGGAGAGGUAGAAGGAAUUUCUAGUGGAGCGGUGAAAUGCGUAGAGAUUAGGAGGAAAAACAGUUGCGAAGGCCGU
rnacentral:rRNA from 1 species